rnacentral:rRNA from 1 species
UACGUAGGGUGCAAGCGUUAAUCGGAAUGACUGGGCGUAAAGGGUGCGUAGGCGGGUCUUUUAAGUCAGGGGUGAAAUCCUGGAGCUCAACUCCAGAACUGCCUUUGAUACUGAGGAUCUUGAGUUCGGGAGAGGUGAGUGGAACUGCGAGUGUAGAGGUGAAAUUCGUAGAUAUUCGCAAGAACACCAGUGGCGAAGGCGGCUCACUGGCCCGAUACUGACGCUGAGGCACGAAAGCGUGGGGAGCAAACAGGG